rnacentral:other from 20 species
CUUCAAAUAACCAAAAUCCUCGGAAUCGGAUUCAACAG